CGCGUAGGCGGUCUCUUAAGUCAGGUGUGAAAGCCCGGGGCUCAACCUCGGAAGUGCACUUGAAACUAAAAGACUUGAGUAUGGGAGAGGGAAGUGGAAUUCCUGGUGUAGCGGUGAAAUGCGUAGAUAUCAGGAGGAACACCGGUGGCGAAGGCGACUUCCUGGACCAAUACUGACGCUGAGGCGCGAAGGCGGUGGGUAGCAAACA
rnacentral:rRNA from 1 species